AUGAUAUGCCUAUCCGAGCUUCGCUUUACGCGGAUGACGCCGCAGUUUUUCUUGCGCCCAUUAAGGAAGACGUCCAGUUUUUCAAUGAUACUCUCAAGCUCUUUGGGGCUGUCACUGGCCUUGUCACAAAUUGUUCCAAGUCUUGUCGCCCCAAUCUGUUGCGAAAAUCUUGAUCCGGACAUUCUCCAAUCCUUCCCAGCCAAGUGUUCCUCCUUUCAGAUGAAAUACCUUGGGCUGCCUUUGCUUGUCAAGAGGUUGAAGAGAAUUCACUACCAGCCCCUCGAGGACAAGAUUGCAGGUCAGCUCACCCCUUGGGUGGGAAGGCACAUUGCCUCGGCAGGUCGGGCAGUCUUGGUUAAGUCGGUCCUCACGACGAUUGCUAUCUACUACAUGACGGCGUUAGAUUUACCGGUGGAGGUCAAGAAAAAGAUCGAUGCCCUUAGACGUGCUUUCUGUUGGGCAGGUUGUGAUAAGGUCACAGGUGGAAAAUGCAAGAUAAAUUGGGAACAAGUGUGCAAGUCCAAACUGCUUGGAGGCCUGGGAAUCCUAAAUCUCGACAAGUUUGCCAUCACUCUUCGCCUCCGUUGGCUGUGGGGCGAGUGGCUUCACCCGGACAAGCCAUGGGUUGGCUUGGGAACCCCUUGUGAUGACAACGACCAAUAUAUUUUUGUCGCGGCUACCAAGGUCUAA
rnacentral:rRNA from 1 species